GGGGAGCCGCGUCCCGGGGCUCUGAGCAUCCACACAGACGCCGGCCCCGCUACCUUCUCUCCGUGCCGGCAGGGCAGCGCAGCUGAACGGCAGCCAAGAAAGCCAUAAAGCAGGCACGGGAGCUGGUGGCAGCACUCCCAGCAUCCUGCAGUGUGCCCAGAGGGACCCUCUGCCCCUCCUGCUGCUCCUAUUACAACGUUACACAGCGCUGAAAUACCUGCCCAUUUUGCAGAGAUAACUAGAUCGUCUAAACUGCUCCUCCAAUUAGCCUCACAUUCCCUGAGCAGAGCACUGCAGCAGCUCCUGCCAAGGAAGGAGAUGCUCUAUUGAUGCCAUGAGGUAUCUGGAAACCUCAGCCUCGCAGCCAGAAAGGCAAAAGGAAAUCAGGAGUGAUGAUGGGACAAGAGAAAAGACAGCAGCAAAUAUCGUGGCGCUCCUCGGGGUGAAUCCAUCCCAGGCACAGGCAGCCCCGGUGCCGCCUCUCCAAAAGGAUGCAGUAGAAAUGAAAAGACACGGAGGUAAGAGGAAGCCUUUAACAGCUUCUCUGCAGCAAGAGGCUAAAAGCACAAGGAAUGCUCAGCCUGGGAAAAGGGCAGCUGAGAAAUCCUGGUAGAGAUCCUACAAAAUUCACAGUGGGAGUUCUCCAUGACACUGCACAGAGAAAGCGAGCAGCUCCCUCCUCCCUCCUGCACAAGCAGCCACCCAGCACCACAAAGCAGCUUUCUCCCGUGCCCUACACCAUAGACCCCGAGCUUCAACCCUGCGUUCAUCUUUACCAGAUGCUGUUCAUCCAUCCCUUGGACAGAGACAUACUUCAUCAUCUCCCAGUACCGGCACAUCCACCUGCAUCCUUCCAGCAACAGCACAGAAACGUUUGCCAGCACUUCUGCCAUGUCUGCUUCACUAUCCAUCAUCUUACCACCUCCACCUACUAAAGGGCUUAUGCUGUCACUGGGACUUUGGGGUUUUCUCCUAAGACACUAAAUAAAACCUUUUCCUUCUGUCCUUCGCCA